GUUUCCUCCUGGUAGCAUCUUCCUUUCCGCCUGAGGAUUUCCCAGGCAUCCUGCCUCCAAGAAAGUCAGAAGUCAGUGCCUUCCUGAGAGCCGGUGAGAGCUCCGUCUCCCUUGGGCAAGUGGUGCUGAUGCCUGUUCCCUGCAUCCAUCUCUCAGAAGCCACAGCAGAACUGAGCUCCAGGGGCCACUGCGAGAAGCAUUUAUGGAGCUCGUGGAGUGAGGCAUCUCUUUAAUCCCUUCAGUAAGUCAGUGUGGGCCAAGGAGUCUGAGGAUCAGAGACCUUGUGACUUUUUAAGUGAAGAUUUACUAUGUGCUGGGGCCCAUUGUGUUUUAUUUUAUUGACUCGUCCCAAGCUCUAAG
rnacentral:lncRNA from 1 species